rnacentral:tRNA from 1 species
CGUAGCUCAGUCGGAUAGAGCGUAAGACUCCGGAUCUUAAGGCCGGGGGUUCAAAUCCCCCUGG